UGGGGAAUUUUGGACAAUGGGCGAAAGCCUGAUCCAGCAAUGCCGCGUGUGUGAAGAGGGCCUUCGGGUUGUAAAGCACUUUUGUCCGGAAAGAAAUCCUCUGGGUUAAUACCUCGGGGGGAUGACGGUACCGGAAGAAUAAGCACCGGCUAACUACGUGCCAGCAGCCGCGGUAAUACGUAGGGUGCAAGCGUUAAUCGGAAUUACUGGGCGUAAAGCGUGCGCAGGCGGUUUUGUAAGACGGAUGUGAAAUCCCCGGGGCUUAACCUGGGAACUGCAUUCGUGACUGCAAGGCUAGAGUAUGGCAGAGGGGGGUAGAAUUCCACGUGUAGCAGUGAAAUGCGUAGAGAUGUGGAGGAAUACCGAUGGCGAAGGCAGCCCCCUGGGCCAAAUACUGACGCUCAUGCACGAAAGCGUGGGGAGCAAACAGGAUUAGAUACCCUGGUAGUCCACGCCCUAAACGAUGUCAACUAGUUGUUGGGGAUUCAUUUCCUUAGUAACGUAGCUAACGCGUGAAGUUGACCGCCUGGGGAGUACGGUCGCAAGAUUAAAACUCAAAUGAAUUGACGGGGUCAU
rnacentral:rRNA from 1 species